UUUAAUUGGGGGACUGGUAUGAAGGGUGCCAUAAGGGAAAGACUAUUUAAGAAUAAAUAUUUAAAUUGAUUAUCAGGUGCAAAGGCCUGAGUAUUUUAAAGUGACAAGAAGACCCUAAGAGUUUUAUAAUAAAAUUAAGUAUAAAUUUUAUGUUGUGUUGUAUAUAUCUUAUUUGGUUUUGUUAUUUAACUGGGGCGGUUAAAAUAUUAUCUUUUAUGAAGAUUACUAUAAUGAUAGUAGUGUUUGAUAUCAGCUAUCCUCUGUCGGAAUACAAAAUAAAUUACCUUAGGGAUAACAGCAUAAUCUUUCUUGAGAGACCAUAUUGACAGAAAGGUUUGUGACCUCGAUGUUGGAUUUGAAUAACUAUUGGGAGCAGAAUUUCAAUAAGUUGGUUUGUUCAACCAUUAAAUCUCACAAUGAUUUGA
rnacentral:rRNA from 1 species